AUGUAUAAGGAGACCCAAGGGGAUGGAUGGAGGGCUGCUAGGAGGCACAGACACAACCAGAACAUACUGCUGAGAGAAAAGACAGGAAAAGAGGGGGAAAGACUUGACAGGUCCAGGUGCCAAUUAAAUUGUAAUUACAUGGAAAACAGUAACCAGAACAUCACAAUGUGUUCUAAGAAAGACAGCAUCUGUACACGUUCACUUCUUCCCAAGUUGACAGCAGAAACAAAGCAGUCGAGGAACAUGUCAAUCAAACAUCCUUCAUUCAGCAGAAGCAGCACAGAGCUAAUUGAGGCUGAACCUUAUCACUUCUCCUCUCAGGGGAAGGUUGAACAGCUGUCUGCAUCCUUAAGAAACAUCCUCCGGCUGCAAGUUCACUGUUAAUCAGACCGAUAACCGUACUGCAUUCCCUAGAGAUCUGCUGUAACACUGCUUAUUUUACAAUCUGCUCCUGUAGAAUGAGUUAGCAAAAAUACAGCUUUCCUGGAUCAAUUUUACUGAGGUGCUGAAUGCACUGAGGCCCAAAAGAGCGUGAAAAGAAGAAAAAUCAAUGGAUCAGGGAUCAGCAAGGAAGUAAUACACUGCAAAAAAUUACAUUUUAUUAAAUAAUUUUUUUGUCAUUCUUAAAGAUAAAUCUACAUGGGAAGCUAAAUUGUGUAAGAAAAUAAGACUUUUCCACAGAAUGUCUUAAGUUCAGUUUCAUUUUCUUACCGCAUUGUUCAAAAAUUGUGAAAUAGCUUUUCAGCAGCUCAAACAGCAUGAUGCCAAGGAAUCAGGAACUGAAAAAUGCAAUCCAAGUGACUUUGGAUAAAAGUGUCUGCCAAAUGUAAUGUACUGUAAAUAGUUUUUUUUUUUUUUUUUUAACCAAGAAAUAAAGAAAACUAUCUGGCAAUGUGUUAAAGAAAAAUAAAUUUAAUUCCAGUCUGAGUGUAACAUAAGACCCGACAUAAGUGAAUUUUCUUAACACGUUAGUUGUUUUCUUGCUUGUAAACAAAUAUUUGAAAUGUAUUUUAAGGAUAUUAACAUAAAAUAUACAUAUUUUAUAUAUAUGUAUCUUUAGUGCAUUAAUAUGCACCUAGGUGCAAAUAAGGUACAAAAGUGCACCACCCCAGUGAGAGUUUUUGUACCUUUUUUUUUAAAGAGUGUAUGUGAGUCUUUAGGAGGGAGCAGGUGCUUGGAGAGGUGCAUGUGGUGGGGGGGGGAUGAAAGAAAAAGAAACACACAAACAAAAUAUGAGAAACACCCAUUCUAUUGACUAAGGCAUGUAAGUUGAACAUUUAUCCUACAGAUUCACAAUCCAGCCUCACAGCCUUGAUGGUGCACAGGUCAACCGAAAUGCAAAGGAGAAAGUGAAAUGAGAGGGAAACCGGUUCCUUCUGAUCCUACAGAGUAACGGCGCCCUCCACUGUAAGCAUGGAAGAGAAGACACAAAAUUCUUAACAAAUUUAUCUCAGACAAAUAUCUAAUGUUAAAGUAAACAUUCUCCACCCAAAAAUUUUAUGUUUUAAAAUCAAGAUUUUAACAAAAUGUUGGUCCUUUUCUCAAAUUGAU
ensembl:lncRNA